rnacentral:rRNA from 1 species
UAGUAAUGGCAGGUCAGCAUACUGCCGUGAAUACGUUCCCGGGCCCUUGUGCACACCGCCCGUCACACCAUGAGAGUUGGGGAUACCCGAAGCCUGUGAGCCAACAGUUUACUGAGGCAGCAGUCGAAGGUAGAAUCAAUGAUUGGGGUGAAGUCGUAACAAGGUACC